rnacentral:rRNA from 1 species
GAUGAACGCUGGCGGCGUGCCUAACACAUGCAAGUCGAACGGAGUCCAGCCUUUAAGACCUUCGGGUCAAAGAGGGGAAGACUGAGUGGCGGACGGGUGAGUAACACGUGGGCAACCUGGCUCAUAGAGGGGGAUAACAGAGAGAAAUUUCUGCUAAUACCGCAUAAGCACACACUGCCGCAUGGCAGAGGGUGAAAAGAGAAUCGCUAUGAGAUGGACCCGCGUCUGAUUAGCCAGUUGGCAGGGUAAGAGCCUACCAAAGCGACGAUCAGUAGCCGAUCUGAGAGGAUGAACGGCCACAUUGGAACUGAGACACGGCCCAAACUCCUACGGGAGGCAGCAGUGGGGGAUAUUGCACAAUGGGGGGAACCCUGAUGCAGCGACGCCGCGUGAGUGAAGAAGUAUUUCGGUAUGUAAAGCUCUAUCAGCAGGGAAGAUAAUGACAGUACCUGAAUAAGAAGCCCCGGCUAACUACGUG